rnacentral:tRNA from 1 species
UAGUUCAGUGGUAGAACAUGUGCUUUGCAUGCAUAUAAUCUGGGUUGAACCCCCAG